GGAAUAUUCCACCUGAUGAUGUCACCUGAUCCACAACAAGCUGCAUCAUCUAAUUUUCAUGAAUUUUAUGGCAGCAAGAAAAGGUAACAAAUUAAAGCACCUGUCCAUCCAAGGGUGGAGCAGAACACCAUGUAAAACCUGCCGAUGCAGCGGCUGCUCAGAAAAAUCAUGUAACUCGAGACACUUAUGUCGUGUUUUCCUGAACAGAUCUUUCUACUUAUUUGUUUGUUUGUUUGUUUGUCACCCGGAAAUUUUUAUUGGCCAGACUUCUAAGCAGAAAUACCCCAUGAGCUGUGCAUGGUUAACAUUUAUCUGUCUUUAACAGACAUGUAACGAGAGGAUGUAAAAGGUGUUGGACAAUUAAGAUCGCUUGCUAAGCUCACAGCUAACAUAUCAUUGGGAAGAGAGCAAAUUUCAAAUAUUUUCAAAUGCUACCACUUUUGUUCGUAAGAGAGAAUUAUCAAAAGGUC